CCGCCGCUUCAGCGCGGGACAACACCACGCCGGCGCGGACCCACCAGCAUUUUCAGGCCCAGAAUUUCACGCGCUGACGCGCCUGCGCCUUGCGAAACACCCGCAGGCCGCAGGCCGCAGGCCGCAGGCCACGGGGGGCCCCGCGCCGCCCGGCCGAAAGGGACGAUGGGACUGCGGCUGCGGACUAGUGGAGUGCUCCUGCUCCCGCAACAAAUCCCAACCCCAAGUCCCCCCAACCAAAGCAGAGGAAAGAGCCGAGGACGCGAGGGCGACGACCCGGAGGAGCACCGGACCCGAAGGCGGAGCCCCCCAAGCCAGAACCCGGCGAGGGGGUCGGUGCCGACCAUGUCCUCGCCCGCGCCCUCCCCGCCCGCCGGGGCGCCGUCGGAGCCGCUCCUGCUCCCGCUCCCGCCCCCGGAGUUCUACUGCUACCAGUGCGAGGCCACGGUGUCGCUGCCCGAGCCGGCCGCGCCCUCCUCGGCCAGGCUCCUCUGCCCGCUCUGCCAUAGCGACUUCAUCGAGGAGAACCCUAGCACCCCGUCUCCACCACCACCUCCGCCGCCGCCGCCCCCACCGCUUUUCCUCUCCGACUCCUCCUCCUCCUCGCUCUCGGACGACCCCGACGACGACUUCGACCUUGUCAUGGACCCCGACGUGGUGCGCGCCUACCUUAGCCGCUUCGCCCACCGCCACCACCUCCAGCAGAUCGGCCACGGCCCCGGCCCGCACGGCCGAGGGGAGCCGCCCGCCACGGCCGCCUCCAUCGCCGCGCUGCCCACGGUCGAGGUUGCUGAGCCCACCGCCGUCUGCGCCAUCUGCAAGGACGACCUGCCCCUCGCCUCCGAGGCGCGGAAGCUCCCCUGCGCCCACCUCUAUCACUCCUUCUGCAUCGUCACCUGGCUCGGGAUGCACAACUCCUGCCCCGUCUGCCGCUUCCGCAUCCCCCCCGCCGACGACCCCGACCAGGCCGCACCGUCGCAGCAGGACCCGCCGCCCACGCGGAUCACCAUCCGCUUCAGCACCACCACACGCCGCCGCGUCCGCAUCGGCAGCGAUGCGCCACUGGCGUCUCAUAUCUCGGCGUCGCCCACGCAGCUCGCACAGGCUAUUACCGGGGAUGGAGCUGGUGGACCUGCCAAUAGCGGCGAGACUGUGUCAUCUGAGUGGCCUCCGCACCCCGAAUCGGAUACAGUCAUGUCGGAGGCACGCGAGGGGGGUGGCUUUUUUGAUUGAGCCAGAGGUUCCAAUUAUCAGGCGAUAAGGUAGCUGCUGUUAGCUGUCAGCCAACAGGAGUAAAAGGAGGCUACCACCUACCAUACGCUUCCUGUCUUCGUUCGGACGAGGUUUCUCGCAAGGUGAUGGCGUGCUGUUACAGCUGAAACUAAAGCUGUCCUUGUUCGGACGAGGUUUCUGGCGAGCGAGAAGAUGGCAUGUUGGUUACAGCUGAACUAAAGUUGUCCUGUUAGGAGAACAAGAGCAUUCAUCGCAUGGGUUCCCGGUGUCUUGUAUAUUGGUUAAACGUAUUUAUUCGUAAUAAAUAUAUAGGCAUGUACAAUGUGCAGUACUCCGUUUCUGGUGUCCCCGUGCCCUCCAUGCAACUUGGUAGGUACAUAUGGGAAUGAAUCGAGUGCUGUUUGGUUCACAUAUUUGUAACGUGAACGGUAAUCAAUAACGUCAAACCAUGUUUGUUGCAAUCAGAUAAUACACUAG
rnacentral:misc_RNA from 1 species